rnacentral:lncRNA from 1 species
GUUUUAGAGAAAAGGCGCUUUCGGCAAGUGCAAAGUGGUAUUGUCAUGUUGCUACUGGAGCUGUCUGUGACAGCCAAGAAAAUAGGACAGAAUCAAAAGGAAGUAAAAUAAGUCAUAGUGAAACCUUCUCCCUUAGAGGAAGGAAAGCAAACAUUGAAAUAUUGCUUUUUUUCUUGGCUACUUAUUAAAGGGGAGAUUUGCCUGCUGUGCUGGAAGAGUCUUUUAUUCAUCGUUUUGUUGAUGGGAGGUAUCCAACUUGAGUGUGUUUGAAGAAGCAAAUUAGUGGCUUCUGGGAAGGUAUUAAUAAGUCACAGAGCAAAGAGG